UACGUAGGGUGCAAGCGUUGUCCGGAAUUAUUGGGCGUAAAGAGCUCGUAGGCGGUCUGUCGCGUCUGCUGUGAAAGCCCGGGGCUUAACCCCGGGUCGGCAGUGGAUACGGGCAGGCUAGAGGUAGGUAGGGGAGAAUGGAAUUCCCGGUGUAGCGGUGAAAUGCGCAGAUAUCAGGAGGAACACCGAUGGCGAAGGCAGGUCUCUGGGCAUUAACUGACGCUGAGGAGCGAAAGCAUGGGGAGCGAACAGG
rnacentral:rRNA from 1 species